CCUGUAAGGGCACCCUGCACUAAAUGUGUAAUGAGCAGCCCUGUGCAAAUGUUUUCGGGCACCCAAGACUUUUGAUUAAAACGUUCAAAUUUGAAAAAUAAAUUUGAAAUGUCCAUUCCACUUCCA